rnacentral:rRNA from 1 species
CGGACGGGUGAGUAACGCGUGGAUAACCUGCCUCACACAGGGGGAUAACAGUUAGAAAUGACUGCUAAUACCGCAUAAGCGCACAGUCUCGCAUGGGACAGUGUGAAAAACUGAGGUGGUGUGAGAUGGAUCCGCGUCUGAUUAGGCAGUUGGCGGGGUAACGGCCCACCAAACCAACGAUCAGUAGCCGGCCUGAGAGGGUGAACGGCCACAUUGGGACUGAGACACGGCCCAAACUCCUACGGGAGGCAGCAGUGGGGAAUAUUGCACAAUGGGGGAAACCCUGAUGCAGCGACGCCGCGUGAAGGAAGAAGUAUUUCGGUAUGUAAACUUCUAUCAGCAGGGAAGAAAGUGACGGUACCUGACUAAGAAGCCCCGGCUAACUACGUGCCAGCAGCCGCGGUAAUACGUAGGGGGCAAGCGUUAUCCGGAUUUACUGGGUGUAAAGGGAGCGUAGGCGGCGAUGCAAGUCAGAAGUGAAAGCCCGGGGCUCAACUCCGGGACUGCUUUUGAAACUGUAUGGCUAGAUUGCAGGAGAGGCAAGUGGAAUUCCUAGUGUAGCGGUGAAAUGCGUAGAUAUUAGGAGGAACACCAGUGGCGAAGGCGGCUUGCUGGACUGUAAAUGACGCUGAGGCUCGAAAGCGUGGGGAGCAAACAGGAUUAGAUACCCUGGUAG